UUGAACGCUGGCGGCAUGCUUUACACAUGCAAGUCGGACGGCAGCGGGGGCUUCGGCCUGCCGGCGAGUGGCGAACGGGUGAGUAAUGCAUCGGAACGUACCCAGUCGUGGGGGAUAACUACGCGAAAGCGUAGCUAAUACCGCAUACGCCCUGAGGGGGAAAGUGGGGGAUCGCAAGACCUCACGUUAUUCGAGCGGCCGACGUCUGAUUAGCUAGUUGGUGAGGUAAUGGCUCACCAAGGCGACGAUCAGUAGCGGGUCUGAGAGGAUGAUCCGCCACACUGGAACUGAGACACGGUCCAGACUCCUACGGGAGGCAGCAGUGGGGAAUUUUGGACAAUGGGGGCAACCCUGAUCCAGCCAUUCCGCGUGAGUGAAGAAGGCCUUCGGGUUGUAAAGCUCUUUCAGCUGGAACGAAACGGUACGCGCUAACAUAGCGUGCUAAUGACGGUACCAGCAGAAGAAGCACCGGCUAACUACGU
rnacentral:rRNA from 1 species